rnacentral:misc_RNA from 1 species
CUGGAAGCAGAUAAACUAGCAUGUUAAGAUGCUGCAUGCAUUCUAUAGCAAUAGAAGUGUUCAACAAUUAUUUCCAACCCUUCUUAUACAAGGAAAUAUAAAAUGUCUUCUAAAUUUCGAUAAAUGCAAUAUUGGUUUAACACUAAAUUAUGCAUCCUACUGCCUGAAUUCAUGAAUUUCAUAAAUGCUACUUGAAUCUUAGUGAUAAGUGGCAUGUUCAGAGAAGAAAACACACCUUUGACACAGCACAAUCUCACCAUUAUAAUACGCACCCUUAUAAAAUUCAAGAAAUGCAAUGCCAGUGUCUCAACUUAAGUGUGUGUAUGUGAGAUAUACCUACAAACAAUAUAUGGGUUCUACACAGUAAUAUUUUUCAACUUUAGCAUGAAUUAUUAACACUAUGCCACUAAUUUGGAAGGAAAAGUUACAUAAUACUUCUUCAAAAUAAAAAUCACAAUAUUUUAAAAGAGUAGACAACACUGACCUUAUUUGAUAAGACAUUCCAAA